AGUGAACGCUGGCGGUAGGCCUAACACAUGCAAGUCGAACGGCAGCACAGUAAGAGCUUGCUCUUACGGGUGGCGAGUGGCGGACGGGUGAGGAAUACAUCGGAAUCUACUUUUUCGUGGGGGAUAACGUAGGGAAACUUACGCUAAUACCGCAUACGACCUACGGGUGAAAGCAGGGGAUCUUCGGACCUUGCGCGAUUGAAUGAGCCGAUGUCGGAUUAGCUAGUUGGCGGGGUAAAGGCCCACCAAGGCGACGAUCCGUAGCUGGUCUGAGAGGAUGAUCAGCCACACUGGAACUGAGACCCGGUCCAGACUCCUACGGGAGGCAGCCGUGGGGAAUAUUGGACAAUGGGCGCAAGCCUGAUCCAGCCAUACCGCGUGGGUGAAGAAGGCCUUCGGGUUGUAGAGCCCUUUUGUUGGGAAAGAAAAGCAGCAGGUUAAUACCCCGCUGUUCUGACGGUACCCAAAGAAUAAGCACCGGCUAACUUCGUG
rnacentral:rRNA from 1 species